ACAUCCUACGUGCGUACUUCACACUACUCUCAUAAUUAUACCUACAACCAUCUCUUACAUCCAUGAUGGAGGAGUUGGCUGGGAAGAAGUUGACUGGAGAGGGAUUGAAGAAGUUGAUUGGAGAGGGGUUGAAGAAGUUGACUGAAGAGUCAAUGAAGAAGGUUGUGAAAGCUUCAGCAGUGAAGGCAGUGGAAUAUGAAAAAUAUGAGCCUCAUGAUAUAAAGAUGUGAGAGAAGAUCAUGGAGGGAGAGAUCUUUCUUCAGUGAGUGUGUUGAUGAGUGAAGAAGUUGAUGAAGAAGAGCAGAGAGAAGAAAGCAAAUGUUCUGUGAGAGAGACAUUUGCCAGUAUCUUUGCAUCCAAAAUGAGAUCUGAUGCUUAACAAGUACCAGAGGCAGUAUAAGAAGAGGGUGACAGAGAAGAAAUGAGAGGAA
rnacentral:sRNA from 1 species